GCGACCUCUGCUCAGGCGGGGCU
rnacentral:rRNA from 1 species